rnacentral:rRNA from 1 species
UACGGAGGGAGCUAGCGUUGUUCGGAAUUACUGGGCGUAAAGCGCGCGCAGGCGGUCUUCCAAGUCAGUGGUGAAAGCCCGGAGCUCAACUCCGGAACUGCCAUUGAAACUGUAAGACUUGAGGAUGAGAGAGGUGAGUGGAAUUCCCAGUGUAGAGGUGAAAUUCGUAGAUAUUGGGAAGAACACCGGUGGCGAAGGCGGCUCACUGGCUCAUUACUGACGCUCAGGCGCGACAGCGUGGGGAUCAAACAGG